AUUGAACGCUGGCGGCAGGCCUAACACAUGCAAGUCGAGCGGAGCGGCGGACGGGUGAGUAAUGCCUAGGAAUCUGCCUGGUAGUGGGGGAUAACGUCCGGAAACGGGCGCUAAUCCCGCAUACUAUCAGAUGAGCCUAGGUCGGAUUAGCUAGUUGGUGGGGUAAAGGCCUACCAAGGCGACGAUCCGUAACUGGUCUGAGAGGAUGAUCAGUCACAGUUGAAGUGAGAUACGGGCCAGACGCCUACGGGGGGCAGCAGGGGGGAAUAUGGGACAAUGGGCGAAAGCCUGAUCCAGGCAUGCGGGGUGUGUGAAGAAGGUCUUCGGAGUGUAAAGCACUUUAAGUUGGGAGGCGUUACCAACAGAAUAAGCACCGGCGAACUUCGUGCCAGCGCCGCGGUAAUAC
rnacentral:rRNA from 1 species